rnacentral:rRNA from 1 species
GACGAACGCUGGCGGCGUGCUUAACACAUGCAAGUCGAACGGAAAGGCCCUGCUUUUGUGGGGUGCUCGAGUGGCGAACGGGUGAGUAACACGUGAGUAACCUGCCCUUGACUUUGGGAUAACUUCAGGAAACUGGGGCUAAUACCGGAUAGGAGCUCCUGCUGCAUGGUGGGGGUUGGAAAGUUUCGGCGGUUGGGGAUGGACUCGCGGCUUAUCAGCUUGUUUGUGGGGUAGUGGCUUACCAAGGCUUUGACGGGUAGCCGGCCUGAGAGGGUGACCGGCCACCUUGGGACUGCGAUACGGACCAGACUCCUACGGGAGGCAGCAGUGGGGAAUAUUGCACAAUGGGCGGAAGCCUGAUGCAGCAACGCCGCGUGCGGGAUGACGGCCUUCGGGUUGUAAACCGCUUUCGCCUGUGCCGAAGCGUGAGUGACGGUAAUGGGUAAAGAAGCACCGGCUAACUACGUG